AUGCUCAAGAUUGAUCUUGCUAAAGCUUUUGACCGUCUUGAGUGGAACUUCAUAGUUUCUGCUUUGGCUCGUAAAGGACUGCAUGGUCAUUUCAUAAAUUUGGUUCAUGCCUGCAUCUCCUCACCUACUUUCUCUGUGCUUAUUAAUGGUCAACUCUCUCAAAAAUUUAAAAACUACAGAGGUAUUAGACAGGGCUGCCCUAUGUCUCCUUAUUUAUUUGUUCUAGCUAUCAAUGAGCUAUCCAUUAUGCUGAAUGAGGCUUUGCAGGCCAAUCAUUUGUUUGGUAUUUCUCUUGGACCAAAUUACCCUUCUGUACAUUCCUUACUGUUUGCAGACGAUCUUCUUGUCUGUGGGCAGGCUACUUGUCAGGAGGCUCAGGUAAGAGAUGACAUUAAAAGCAUUUUUCCAGUAGCUAAUCUGGAUGACAACUUCACUCAUUUA
rnacentral:rRNA from 1 species